GUAUUUCCGCCGGCGCGAAACCAGUGUAGCUUGCUAGUCGUGUGGCAUCGGUCUUUCGCCGUCCCUCGCUAUCGCACGCCAUCACACACCAUCACACACCAUCGCAAGCCACCGCACCCCAUCGCUCGAAAUCUGCAGACAUCUUGAUUUUUCCCGCGCUGUCUGUCAGGUCUCCGUCGCCACUCGACGCCAGGGCGCCGGGCCUUGUGGGCUGUGCUGCUCCUCGGAGGGCUUGGCAGCAGCCAGCGCCCCCUCCUGCAGCUCUCUGAUCUGCACCCCCUGAGGGGCAUCCACUGUCCGCGGAGUGAGAAUGCCCUGGCUGAGAGUGUCACACGACUGCUGCCCCAUGUGUGUGAGAGGUGUCCUCUGGGAGAGCAUGGAUUCUGAGGUCCCAGGAUUGUCAGCUGACCUCUGUCCUGUGGGCCCAGUGGCCCCAGGUGACAUUUCUUCAAGAAGAGGCUGAACUGUGGUGCUUGUAAGGUCUCAGCCUUAGAUUCAAGGACAGUCCAAGGAAGUCCUAAGACCAUGGAGUUGGUGACCUGGGAUCUGGGUUUGCUGGUAUUUCUUACCAUGAAUCUCUUGGUGGUGUUUAUGGACACCAGAGGGGCAGAGAAUAGAGAGUGAGGCCACCACAUGAAGCGUCAUGUGGUGCUCCCUGCUGCCUGCUUAGAGCUGCUCCCUGCUGCCUGCUUAGAGCACCCCGGAUCCACUGUUCAAUCUGCACAAGAUUCGGGGUCCAGACAUGGGAGACUUCAGCUGCCUCGGAGGACCGUGGACAGGGAAGGCCAGCCCUGCAUCCCUCUGGCCAUGCCUGGAAUGACUUUAAUAACUAAGAGUUUUAUUCCUGAAUUUGUAGCUGUCGUUCACUUUUUACCCACCCAUUCAAUAAACCUUACAGAAUUGCUC